GCCAGGCGUUGUGGCGGGUGCCUGUAGUCCCAGCUAUUUGGGAGGCUGAGGCAGGAGACUCGCUUGAACCCAGGAGUUGGAGUUUGCUGUGAGCGUGAUGCCAUGGCACUCUACCCAGGGGGAUAGCUUGAGGCUCCGUCUCAAAAAAAAAAAAAAAAAACAAAAAAAAAAACUCUAUUUUAAACGCAUGGGGUUUUUUUUUUUUUUUUUUGAGACAGAGCCUCAAGCUAUCCCCCUGGGUAAAGUGCCGAGGCAUUACAGCUCACAGCAACCUCCAACUCCUGGGCUCAAGCGAGUCUCCUGCCUCCG
rfam:Otolemur garnettii contig169527, whole genome shotgun sequence.